rnacentral:rRNA from 1 species
UACGGAGGGUGCAAGCGUUAUCCGGAUUCACUGGGUUUAAAGGGUGCGUAGGUGGGCUAGUAAGUCAGUGGUGAAAUCUCCAGGCUUAACUUGGAAACUGCCAUUGAUACUAUCAGUCUUGAAUACCGUGGAGGUCAGCGGAAUAUGUCAUGUAGCGGUGAAAUGCUUAGAUAUGACAUAGAACACCAAUUGCGAAGGCAGCUGGCUACACGAAUAUUGACACUGAUGCACGAAAGCGUGGGGAUCAAACAGG